rnacentral:rRNA from 1 species
UACAAUGGUCGGUACAAUGGGAUGCCAAGCCGCGAGGCGGAGCAAAUCCUCAAAGCCGGCCUCAGUUCGGAUUGGAGGCUGCAACUCGCCUCCAUGAAGUCGGAGUUGCUAGUAACCGCAGGUCAGCUAUACUGCGGUGAAUACGUUCCCGGGCCUU